rnacentral:rRNA from 1 species
GACCUGCGGAAGGAUCAUUAAUUAAAUUAGGGCAACUUUACUGUUGUUCCCUUAAUUAACCCCACCUUUACUGUGAAAUGUUUUUUUUUUACUCGGGCUUGAGGAACGCCUUUGUCUCAUAGAGGAUGGAGACACUGGAUGAUAACCGAACCGAGGUCAGGCCGAGGCCUGGCGUCCUCUAAAAAUUAUUAUAUACCUUGAAUUCAGAAUUAAAAAAUCGUAACAUAGGCCUUAAUAAGCUUAUAAAACAAAUUUUAACAACGGAUCUCUUGGUUCUCGCAUCGAUGAAGAACGUAGCAAAGUGCGAUAACUAAUGUGAAUUGCAUAUUCAGUGAAUCAUCGAGUCUUUGAACGCAACUUGCACUUGCUGGUAUUCCAGCAAGUAUGCCUGUUUCAGUAUCAAAAACAACCCACCAUCAAAAUUUUAUUUUUGAUGGGUCUUGGACGGGUCUUCCCUUUGCCACGGAAGAGUCGCCUGAAAUAUAUUAGGCCUGAUCUUUGAAGUCUUGCCGAAUACUUUUUUUUUAAUAUAAAGGAAAAGUUUCAGCUUAUACUUUUUAUUAGGGGCCUCCCAAAUAAAUCACUUUUAAAUCUUGAUCUGAAAUCAGGUAGGAUUACCCGCUGAACUUAAGCAUAUCAA